GACGAACGCUGGCGGCGUGCUUAACACAUGCAAGUCGAACGAUGAAGCCCAGCUUGCUGGGUGGAUUAGUGGCGAACGGGUGAGUAACACGUGAGUAACCUGCCCUGGACUCUGGGAUAACCCCGAGAAAUCGGAGCUAAUACCGGAUAGGACCCUGGAAGGCAUCUUUUGGGGUGGAAAGUUUUUCGGUCUGGGAUGGACUCGCGGCCUAUCAGCUUGUUGGUGAGGUAAUGGCUCACCAAGGCGUCGACGGGUAGCCGGCCUGAGAGGGUGACCGGCCACACUGGGACUGAGACACGGCCCAGACUCCUACGGGAGGCAGCAGUGGGGAAUAUUGCACAAUGGGCGCAAGCCUGAUGCAGCAACGCCGCGUGAGGGAUGACGGCCUUCGGGUUGUAAACCUCUUUUAGUAGGGAAGAAGCCUUCGGGUGACGGUACCUGCAGAAAAAGGACCGGCUAACUACGUGCCAGCAGCCGCGGUAAAAC
rnacentral:rRNA from 1 species